UGUGAGUUCUGACAGCUGUGUCUCUCGAAUCAAAGAGUGCGAUAAGUGAUUUAAAAAUAGCAAACACUGGAAGCACAGAUAUAUAGAAAAAUUGUUCAUCACUUAUUACCGGGCGAAAAGAUCACUUUGAAAUAGGAAAUGAACUUGAAAAGUGCUGUGAAACUGCUGCCGGGCAAUAACCAAUAUUUGAAGACGGAUGUACCACUAAAUGGUAUCUUAAGUACGGGGCGUUCCAGUGGCAGAGGCUUUGCGCGGUUUGUUAAACAAUACCCAGUUUUGGGUGCCAUAAUUAGUAUUAUACUCCUGCUUGUUGGAAUAUUAUCGUGUCUAAAAAAGUGCGGUUGCUGCGACGAACCCGAGAAAGAACAAAUGAAUGCCGUGGUGCAUCAAGAUGCAACGUAUCCGACACAAAAUUCGGACCCAGAAGCGCAGAAUCUGAACACUUUCCCGACACAAAAUGCGGACCCAGAAGCUCAAAAUCGGAACACAAUUCACGAAUGAUCUCUUUAGUGUGUGCCACUUUAUGACCAAACAUUGUUGAAAUCCAAUAAAAACUGUUCAACCCCCUAGCUACCAAAUAUUUAGACCAUGCACGCAUAUACCUAAUAUAAAGAUUUCGAACUUCCGGGUGAUUUUGUACCGCAUAUAUCGGCCAAUAUGUGAGUUAUCUCAAUGAAAAUAAAAGAACGUGUUUUACUCAAA